rnacentral:rRNA from 1 species
GACGAACGCUGGCGGCGUGCUUAACACAUGCAAGUCGAACGGAAAGGCCCUGCGUUUGUGGGGUGCUCGAUUGGCGAACGGGUGAGUAACACGUGAGUAACCUGCCCUUGACUUUGGGAUAACUUCAGGAAACUCGGGCUAAUACCGGAUAGGAGCUACUGCUGCACGGGGGGGGUUGGAAAGUUUCGGCGGUUGGGGAUGGACUCGAGGGUUAUCCGCUUGUUGGUGGAGUAGGGGCUUACAACGGCUUUGACGGGUAGCCGGCCUGAGAGGGUGACCGGCCACAUUGGUCCUGAGGUACGGCCCAGUAUCCUACGGGCCGCAGCAGUGGGGAAUAUUGCACAAUGGGCGGAAGCCUGAUGCAGCAACGCCGCGUGCGGGAUGCCGGCCUUCGGGUUGUAAACCGCUUUCGCCGGUGCCGAAGCGUGAGUGACGGUAAUGGGUAAAGAAGCACCGGCUAACUACGUG